UACGGAGGAUCCAAGCGUUAUCCGGAAUCAUUGGGUUUAAAGGGUCCGUUAGGCGGGCCUUAAGUAAGUCAGUGGUGAAAGCCCCAUCGCUCAACGAUGGGAACUGCCCGAUUGAUACUGUAAAGGCUUGAAUUAUUGUGAAGUAACUAGAAUAUGUAGUGUAGCGGUGAAAUGCUUAGAUAUUACAUGGAAUACCAAUUGCGAAGGCAGGUUACUAACAAUGAUUGACGCUGAUGACGAAAGCGUGGGGAGCGAACAGGAUUAGAUACCCGUGUAGU
rnacentral:rRNA from 1 species